rnacentral:rRNA from 1 species
GAUCCUGGCUCAGGAUGAACGCUAGCGGCAGGCUUAACACAUGCAAGUCGAGGGGCAGCAUAAUGGAUAGCAAUAUCUAUGGUGGCGACCGGCGCACGGGUGCGUAACGCGUAUGCAACCUACCUUUAACAGGGGGAUAACACUGAGAAAUUGGUACUAAUACCCCAUAAUAUCAUAGAAGGCAUCUUUUAUGGUUGAAAAUUUCCGAUGGUUAGAGAUGGGCAUGCGUUGUAUUAG